CCAGGCCAGUUUUUUGAUUCAGCGUAAAUCACACUGAGCAAAGUAUGGUUAGCAGCAUUCCCAGGUUCUGAUUUUAUAAGGUGGUGUGCUAGCAUUUCUGCAAUUUCAAAUCUCCCAUGAGUUUUACAUGCUGACACCAAAGAGCUCCAUAUUGUUGCACUAGGUUUCAAGGGCAUUGUUUGCACAAUAUCAAAAGCAUCAUCGAUUUUCCCAGACUUUCCAAGAAGAUCAAUUAGGCAAGCAUAAUGUUCUAUAGUCAGUGGGAUUUUUCCUUCUUGCUUCACAUUAUCAAAUAUCUGUUUUCCCUCUUUGACAAGGCCAGUGUGGUUGCAAGCUGAUAAAAUGGCAAUUAAAGUAAUUGCAUCUGGUUCCACCAUCCUGUCUUGCAUAUCAUGAAAAAGACACAAAGCUUCCUUACCAUAACCAUGCAAGCCAUAACCAGCAAUCAAUGUACUCCAUG
rnacentral:misc_RNA from 1 species